rnacentral:rRNA from 1 species
AUUGAACGCUGGCGGCAUGCCUUACACAUGCAAGUCGAACGGCAGCACGGGGGCAACCCUGGUGGCGAGUGGCGGACGGGUGAGUAAUGCAUCGGAACGUGCCCUGAAGUGGGGGAUAACGCAGCGAAAGCUACGCUAAUACCGCAUAUUCUGUGAGCAGGAAAGCAGGGGAUCGCAAGACCUUGCGCUUUGGGAGCGGCCGAUGUCGGAUUAGCUAGUUGGUGGGUAAAGGCCUACCAAGGCGACGAUCCGUAGCGGGUCUGAGAGGAUGAUCCGCCACACUGGGACUGAGACACGGCCCAGACUCCUACGGGAGGCAGCAGUGGGGAAUUUUGGGACAAUGGGCGAAGCCUGAUCCAGCCAUGCCGCGUGAGUGAAG